UUGUCAUAGCUAACUGGAACUCCCGGAUGUAUCAACGAAUCUCCUGUUGAUGAUCUUGAAUACCUGUGUCUGCAUCAUAAGAAGAUGCAGGCCAAAUGGCUCAGUACGUGGAAUGUACGAGUAUGUAAGCUGGAAAGCUAAACAACAUAGGCUAGAAGAAAAACUGGAAUAAACUGAAUAACUUACCUCUUUUCAAACUUUCUCAACUCAAGGAAUACUCAAAACUACUCAAACUUACUCAACUCAGAAGAUAGAUAUUGGACUCAGAGACAGAUACUCAACUCAAAGAUAGAUACUCAACUCAGAGAUACUUAACUCAAGGAUACUCAACUCUUGAAUAACUGAACUCAAUAUAUAAAGCAAUAAGACACAUGCAAUAUAUAUAUAUAUAUAUAUAUAUAACUGGUAAAAUAGUAUCAACAACUUAGUUUGUUAAGGAUAAAACGAUAAUAAACUCAACUUUACUUAUAUAAAAGUAAUAUAACUUUUGUGGGAGGUUCUUUACCGACAACCACCACUAUGAGCCUUAGUGAUGAUACAACGUUUUACCUCACGUUGCCCAAGGACCAUCCUAUACCUUGCCAUCGAUAUAGGACCUUACUUUUGCUUAGUGGAUCCACUAGCUUAACUUUCGUGAUCAUCUAAAAAGUAUGACCCGAGAAAUCCCAUGUUUGGCUACAUGGUUCUUAUGGAGAGUUGAGUUAAUAUGAACUCGUGUCCCCAAUUCGGUGCUUUGAAACGCUUAACUUGACUUGAAACUCUUAACUUAACUUGACUUGGAACUCGAUACUUUUGACUUGACUUGAAACCCUUAACUUAACUUGAAACGCUUAACUUGACUUGAAACUCUUAACUUAACUUGACUUGGAACUCGAUACUUUUGACUUGACUUGAAACCCUUAACUUAACUUGAAACGCUUAACUUGACUUGAAACUCUUAACUUAACUUGACUUGGAACUCGAUACUUUUGACUUGACUUGAAACCCUUAACUUAACUUGAAACGCUUAACUUGACUUGAAACUCUUAACUUAACUUGACUUGGAACUCGAUACUUUUGACUUGACUUGUUACUCUUGACUUAACUUGAAACGCUUAACUUGACUUGAAACGCUUAACUUGACUUGAAACUCUUAACUUAACUUGACUUGGAACUCGAUACUUUUGACUUGACUUGAAACCCUUAACUUAACUUGAAACGCUUAACUUGACUUGAAACUCUUAACUUAACUUGACUUGGAACUCGAUACUUUUGACUUGACUUGAAACCCUUAACUUAACUUGAAACGCUUAACUUGACUUGAAACUCUUAACUUAACUUGACUUGGAACUCGAUACUUUUGACUUGACUUGAAACCCUUAACUUAACUUGAAACGCUUAACUUGACUUGAAACUCUUAACUUAACUUGACUUGGAACUCGAUACUUUUGACUUGACUUGAAACCCUUAACUUAACUUGAAACGCUUAACUUGACUUGAAACUCUUAACUUAACUUGACUUGGAACUCGAUACUUUUGACUUGACUUGAAACCCUUAACUUAACUUGAAACGCUUAACUUGACUUGAAACUCUUAACUUAACUUGACUUGGAACUCGAUACUUUUGACUUGACUUGAAACCCUUAACUUAACUUGAAACGCUUAACUUGACUUGAAACUCUUAACUUAACUUGACUUGGAACUCGAUACUUUUGACUUGACUUGAAACCCUUAACUUAACUUGAAACGCUUAACUUGACUUGAAACUCUUAACUUAACUUGACUUGGAACUCGAUACUUUUGACUUGACUUGAAACCCUUAACUUAACUUGAAACGCUUAACUUGACUUGAAACUCUUAACUUAACUUGACUUGGAACUCGAUACUUUUGACUUGACUUGAAACCCUUAACUUAACUUGAAACGCUUAACUUGACUUGAAACUCUUAACUUAACUUGACUUGCCUUACAUACCUGAUUAGGGAUCACCCCCGAUGAAAAUCCACGACGAUCCUUAGCUUCUUCUUCUCUUUCUCCUCUUCUUUCUCUCUUCACUCUCAAAACCCUCACUCUCACUCUUUUAAAAAUAAAAACUGAUCAAAAAUCAGCCUAACACCUUAAUAUAACCAAAAGAAUUGGCUAGGGAAAAGACCAAAAUACC
rnacentral:lncRNA from 1 species